AACCGACGGCGCCCUGGGCGCGCGGGGAGCAGGCACCGGGCAGGCCGGCGGGCGGGGAGGGCCCCUCUCGUCUUGCGCCGCCGCCGCCGGGGCUCCCGGGCCAGGCGCGGCUUCCGCCUCGGGGACCCGGCGCGGCCCGGACUUUCUUGGCGGACUUUCUUGGCGGGACGGCGACUGGGUGGUGGGCGCCGAGGAGCCGCUCCGCCCGGCGACGCCAGCCCCUUCCCCCUCCGGGCAGCCAUGUUCUGGGCGGGCGGGCUGCGCGCUGCGAAGGGCCCUCGCUCCGGGGCGCAGCGGACGCCUGGUGGCCCGAGGCGAGGCGAGGGCAGGCCCGCUCCCUGCGCCGGCAUCUGCCCAGCAGGGCUGGGCCCCGAAACCCCAGGAUAACAGGAGAGAGGGGGAAACAGGUCUGCUCCCGAGCCCUCUCUGCGCAGCUUCAGGUCGCCUCUCCGCCGGUUGCUCUCGAUAGAUUUGAACUACCGUGAUAGUUGCUUCUGAAUUGUGACAGCAUUUUAUUAUUAGAUUAUAGUAUUUGAGAGGCAACGUAAGGCCAAACAUGUCGCUCAGAUCCCUUUUUUUAAAAAGGGAAAUGACAGGUAAAGGGUCCCCAAAGGCUUUGGAAUAGCUGGAGAUGCCCCUGGGCUGGAAGAACCAUUUCAGAUGAGACAUUCCUCCAUCCCUACCCCCAUCUCCUGCCGCACAGCACAGGGCAGGUACCGAGGUCGUGCGGGGAAAAGCAGCAAAGGGGGAAGGCAAGAUUUGGAACAGAAAUGGAGAAGAGAAAGGGGGGCAGGGAGUGAACUGAAAGGAUCCUGGGGGUGUCUUGAGAGAUCUGGUGCAAGGCAACAAAGCUGUGGCUUACAGGAGUGCUCUGCUGUUUGUGUCCAUCUGUGCUCAAAUUUGUAUGACUAUAAAUCAACCUAAACGUUGCAAAACCACCAAAUGUCUCCAAUGACCAUUCCCUUCAAAAGAGGCCAAACCCCCAGAAAAUGCCGUCCCUGAAUCUUUUCGUGGUGUGUGUGUGUAAUAGAGAAAGAGAGGGAGUGGUCUAGUGGAUCACAAAUUUAUUAAGACCACACAACACUGUUUUGACCCAGGCGUGGGCAACCUGUGAUUCUGUAUGUCGCCCAACACCACCUUUUGUCGUACGUGAAGACCAUGUCUAAAGUGCAGUGCUCUGGCGCCCUUCCUCCCACCCUCAGCUGCACAGAGUGAUGUCCCAGACACCCUGGAGACAUUUGCAGGCAAGUUCUCUGCCAACCGAGACCAGGCACUCCCCUACGGCCAUUGGCACGUCUGCCAAACACAAGUACCCGGUACUUUUGCAGGAUCACAGCUUGGGCGCAUGGAAUAAAAGAAGCAUCUGCUAUGGAGCACAGUGUUUCUCUACAAACUUCAUGGGGAGAGUAUAUUCGGUCUCUGCCCCCCGGGGGGGGCAGGCUGGGCAUGGGCCAAGGUGUGUUUCCACUUGGAACUUGUUGAGGUGCCCAUGCUCCUCCUCUCCAGGGAGCCUUGAAAGUUUGGCCUUGUCAGAGUCACAAGGCUUUUGACAUGAGCAGAAGGGCCAGAGCUAAAGGGGUCUUUGCUGGGGUUUUGUGCUCCCUAUGGGGGUGGGAGAGAGAGACCCCAGCACAUUCCUCAAAGGGACCCUGGAAAUGAAUUUCAAUUUUAAAUAUCUGACAUGCAGAAAGACACCGCAGGCAGCGUGGGUCUUCUAUGCAACUUGUUGCCCCACCCCUCUGGAAUCAAGAUGUGGUAAAAGUGAUCAGCUUCUCUUUUUGAGGAUGAAAAUGUUAAGGCCAAGGCCGGCCCCCAUGAGGCAAAGUGAGGCAACUGCCUCAGGUGGCCGGAUCCACAGGGUAGCAGAUCCAAAUGUAGAUCUUUAUUCCCUGUAGUUCGAAAAAGCUUUUUGACACUGCCACUGGAGAAUUAAAAGCAAUUGAGCAACAAGAAGCUGGGGUCUUCCUUGACUCAUCAAACUUGAGCUCCACUGUGGCUCAUUUCCAAGGAUAAGUGGGCUGUAUCUCCAUUCCAUUCCAGGAAAACAGCUGACCUUGCACAGGCAUCUAAAAUUGGCUUUCAGGUUAUUAAAGUCUAAAGAGAUGCCUGUUUGCCAAUAUUCAUGAGUCAAUAGGACUUACUCCCAGGUAAAUGGGAUUGGGAUUGCAGGCUAAAUUGUAUACAGUGUGACGUUAAUGACAUACAUUUUAUAGAAAAUAAAAUCACUUGAACUGGAAUCGGGAUAGCUGGUGGAUUUUUGGACAGUUGCUUGUAACAAUGAAAAACAGGCUCUAUCUGAACAACUGUUAAAGGUGUCUGUGUGUACAUUUCCUUGUAAUUUUAAAAGCCUGUUCUGAAAGGAUACACUAAUAUUUGGGAGUACGAAUGCUUUGUGUGAUUCAGCAGUUGAUAAAAAGUGUAUGAGGGAUAUUUCUUGGGCAUCCUGAACUGGGCCUGUAGAUAUAUUUAGUUUUUGUGUGCAACAGCUGCAUUGUUUGACACAAAACUGUUCCGUGAUUUUAAAAACUUAGAAGGUUCACCGCAAAACUGGUUAUAUAUAGCUGUAGCAAAGGAGCCUUGUACCAGCAGCCUACGAAGAUCUUACUAGUGUCUGAGUGAAUAAAGGCAGAAUACUUCAGGAAAACAACACUUAAUUGGAAAAUAAGCUGCAGCGUAUUGGAAGGAAGAUUGCCACUAUCAUGUAUAAAGAGAGAGACAUAUAUUGAUAUAGAUGAAACCCAGUUCAAGGGGUUGAUCUUCUUUGGUGAUGCAGAAGGGGGCUGCCUAUUUAUCUGGGCUGCCAUUCAAGGCAACUGCUCUAGAACCCAGCAGCCUUGUUGAAGUUUUAAGUACAGUGUGGUAAGGAAAGGAAGCAAUUAAUUUCCAUCUGUAUUUUUUAAUUAUUUAACUUAAAAUAUUUAUUAUUCACUCUUCAUUGUAAGAACAGUCCUAAAGCAGCAUACAUAAAAUCAGAGCACAACAUAUACAGUAAAAUAAUACAUUUAUCAUACUAACAGCCAGGAGAACUAAAACAAUAAGUGUUCUUAAUAAUAAACAAAAGAAGAAGAAAGAAAAAGUCCCGAAAUAUAUGAUGUACUUUCUUUUGUCUGUCCCUAAUCUUCAGCUUCAUUGGAUGUCUACAAGAUUGAGUGUCAUGAGAGAGACAAAAACUGAAUACAAUAUUUGGUUCGGAUUCUGAUUUGCCGCUUCAAAAAAGAGUUUGAUUCAUUCUGAACCAAGUUAAAGGCUAUCUGAUGCAACUCGGGGUCUGAAUCUAAAUCCCAGUUCAAAAAACUGAAACUUUGUGCUUCCCCAUUCACUGUUAUGGGAUUAUUUUUAAUACUUUACAGAAGUGGAUGAAAUUGUGAGGCAUUGCAGCCCUUCUGUGUGGACAAAGCCUGAUAAAGUCCAGAUAAAUUGGGCUGGAUAGCUUUGAAAUCCCUCCCCCUGCCUGCAAAAGAAACUAUUUUGAGGGAGAACUGGAUGGGGCAAGAAGAGAAAAGAAUAUGAUGCUCUAGCACUAAUGGACCCAGAGAGGACUGAUAUUCUCAAACCAAGUGUGUCCCAAACACACUUCUCUUUUGGAUAAUUUGUACCUGUAUGAAGUUGCUUGGUGGCAUGACCGACACUCUUGGGUUCAAGAAGAUAUAUAGAUGUACAUGGCAUGCCAGGGUGCUCAAUGAAGAGACAAAAAGCUUCCCUGAUAAAUCAUCCUUGUUUAACAUUUAAAACCAGUGAUAAGAAAGAACUGUUCCCCAUCCCCCUUCACUCUUGCUGUUUCAGCUCUGGAGAGAUAAGAGAGAUCUGCUGGCCGUCAUAAAUUUUACAAAGAGAGUUACAAAGCAAGUGAGGAAACAAUUGACGGUUCUAUUUUCACGAAGCACUAGGAGAUUCUGGAAAAAGAAGAAGCUCUCAUUAAGCACAUUAAAAGGUGCUCAUGAGAGGGAACAGACCGGAAGGAGGAGGUGUUGGAAGCAGAAGAGGUACGGUUUAGUGAGCAGGAAGAAGCUGUGGCAGAGAACAGUUCAGACUCCAGGGCUGAAGCGAAAGUUGGAGAGGGCGGGGGGGACCAGAGGCUGGAGAAGAAGCCAGGGGGGUCUCCCCCUUGUGCUGCAACCAGCUCCCCUCUCCCCUGGUCUCCCAGGACACAGAGAGAAAUGAAAAGAGCAGAGCGGAGAAUGGUUGUGCACAGAGGCCGUUUGCAACUGGGAAACGCCCUGGAGAGGAGAAGCCUUAGAGAGCAGUGGGAAGGCCAUCAGUUCUCGCAAGUGCAGGCUGGCCCCCAGCAGAGACAUGGUGCAUGGUAGGUGGGGGGGGGGAUUUGGUGGGGCUCUCCACAGGGCUGGUGGGCUGCCCUGGGCAUGGAGGCUCUGCUGCUAGCUGCCCUGUUCAGCAGAUGGCAUGGGAGCCAACUCCUAGGGCCUGAGGGGUCUUUGACCCCCCAUAAAACAUUUGAGGGACCAGGCCCCCUCAAAGUUGAUGGGCAUUGCCAUUCAAAUGGUGUGCAUGCACCGCAUCAUGUGAUCAAUUAUAUGUGGUGGGUCUUACCUGCCCCCCUCCAAUAUUUUAUUUAAGUUGGCACCCCCAGCAGGUGGACUUGUGAGUGGCAGCUACCUGUCAGCGAGUGCAGUGGGUUCUACUAGAUGACCCUAUUGGGUCCCCUUCCAACUCUACAGAUCUCUCCCUACCCUUAGUUAAUUACCAGCCCAAAGGGGCCUUGUGUAUGGUGGGGGGGGACAGAGGUGGUGAGGAGGCUGAAGUGGCCAUUAGCCACCUCCCCCCACCCCCACUGUACACUUGUCUUCUGUGUUUAUUUACUGGCUUCACAAGAGUCUUGAAUCAUUUUGACUAGAAGCCUAAAAUAUUUUUAUUUUUACCUCCUUUUAAUUCUAUAUAUUUAAACAUAUAUAUUCAGUUCUGUACAUGAAAUGGUAUUGACUGCAUUGUGAACACUUUAAUUCACGAUACGGGGAUUUAUUUUGGUGUGUGGCUGGCUCGCUGUUUCUGUGGGGAAGUGCUCUUGCGGCCCACACGGUCUGAGAGGUUGGGCUGCCCUGCUGUAGCCGGCUGCGCCGGGUGGUUUGCAAUUGCUCACUAGUGCUCUGCAAGUCCAAGCGGAACAAAGGCCAAAUGAGGAUGCUUUAUUAAAUCAAUCCUGAAAAGAAAUCUGUGUAUCAAAUCCUUAGUGCUGUGAUCAAGCAGAAUAACUGGUCACGUGCAGUAAUGCUCAACAGUGACUCUUCUUUGUUGGUUGGAUGGAUGUGAAAGCACAGGUAAACACCUCCUGAUCCAUGCAAUUAGAGCUUUUGUGUUCAAUAGAACAGGUUGUGCUGAGUCUUGUUGCAUUGUUGUUCCUACAGGAUAAAUAUUGGAGGUCUGACCAUCCCCUGGUUACUUGUGCUCCUGGUGGGGCAUAGGUAGAAGAUGGAGUAUUGAAACCUGAGUGAAGAACCUGCUCUGCUUCUGUGCAAACUUAUUAAACCUUUACUUCCAGUCAUAGAUUAGAUUACUAUGAUACCCAGCAUCAUGCUUCCUUUUAUCCAUUAUGUUUAAAAAAAUGGUAAAGACGGAAUGAUGGAACGAUGUGGCAUUUGGAGACCAGAUGCAACUUGACUCAUGUAAAAGGCC